ensembl:lncRNA
UUUGUAUGUGUUCAGACGGUUUCAGGGCUGUAUGUAUUCAGACUGUUCAGGGUUGUGGAUGUAUUCAGACUGUUCAGGGUUUGGGAUGUGUUCAGACUGUUCAGGGUUGUGGAUGUGUUCAGACUGUUCUGGGUUGUGGAUCAGACUGUUCUGGGUGGUGGAUGUGUUCAGACUGUUCAGGGUUUGGGGAUGUUUCAGACGUUUCAGGUGGUGGUGUCGGUUAGUUGUGAUGUUCAAAGUCAGGGUUGUGGAUGUGUUCAACUGUUCAGGGUUGUGGAUGUGUUCAGACUGUCAGGGUUGUGUAUGUGUUUCAGGGUUGUGGAUGUAUUCACUGUUCAGGGUUGUGGAUGUAUUCACUGUUCAGGGUGUGUGAUGUGUUCAGACUGUUCAGGGUUGUGGAUGUGUUAGACUGUUCAGGUUGUGAAUAUGUCCAGCUGUUCAGGGUUGUGUAUGUAUUCAGACUGUUCAGGGCUGUGUAUGUAUUCAGACUGUUCAGGUGUGGAUGUGUUCAGACUGUUUUGGGUUGUGGACGUGUUCAGACUGUCUGGGUAGUGAAUUCAGAAUUUUCAGGGUUGUGGAUGUGUUCAGACUGUUCAGCGUUGUGGAUGUGUUAAACUGUUCACGGUUGUGGAUGUGUUCAGACUGUUCAGCGUUGUGGAUGUGUGGACGUUUCACGGUUGUGGAUUGUUCAGACUGUUCAGGGUUGUGGAUGUAUUCAGAAUGUUCAGGGUUGUGGAUGUGUUCAGACUGUUCAGGGUUGUGGAUGUGUUCAGACUGUUCAGGUUGUGGGAUGUGUUGCAGACUGUUCAGGGUUGUGGAUGUGUUCAACUGUUCAGGGUUUGUGAUGUGUUCGGGUGUGGGUGUGUUCAGUCUGUUCAGGGUUGUGUAUGUAUUCAGACUGUUCAGGGUUGUGGAUGUGUUCAAAUGUUCAUGGUUGUGGAUGUAUUCAGACUGUUCAGGGUUGUGUAUGUAUUCAGACUGUUCAGGGCUGUGUAUGUAUUGUUCAGACUGUUCAGGGUUUGGAUGUAUUCAGACUGUUCAGGGUUGUGGAGUAUCAGAAUGUUCAGGGUUGUGAAUGUGUUCAAAUGUAUGGGUUGUGGAUGUGUUCAGACUGUUCAGGUUUGUGGAUGUGUUCAGAAUGUUCAUGUUGUUGUGGAUGUUAUUCAGAAUGUUCAGGGUGGGGAUGUGUUCAGACUGUUCAGGGUUGUGUAGUAUGAAGACUGUUCAGGGCUGUGUAUGAUAUUCAGACUGUUUCAGGUUUGUGGAUGGAUUCAGACUGUUCAGGGUUGUGGAUGGGUUCAGACUGUUCUGGGUUGUGGAUGUGUUCAGGGUUGUGGAUGGUUCAGACUGUUCUGGUUGUGGAUGUGUCCGACUGUUCAGUUGUGGAUGUUCAGACUGUUCAGGGUUGUGGAUGUGUUCAAGGUUCAGGUUGUGGAUGUAUUUCAGAAUGUUCAGGGUUGCUGAUGUGUUCAGACUGUUCUGGGUUGUGGUAUGUUUUCAGACUUUCAGGGCUGUGUAAUGUAUUCAGACUGUUCAGGGUUGUGGAUGUAUC